rnacentral:sRNA from 1 species
GCCCAGCUUCUUUCAAUCCACCAUGGUC